CUGGGCGUAAGGUGCGUAGCGGUUUGCAGACGAUGUGAAAUCCCCGGGCUCACCUGGGAAUUGCAUUGGAGACUGCACGGCUAGAGUGCGGCAGAGGGGGGUGGAAUUCCACGUGUAGCGGUGAAAUGCGUAGAGAUGUGGAGGAAUACCGAUGGCGAAGGCAGCCCCCUGGACCAACACUGACGCUCAUGCACGAAAGCGUGGGGAGCAAACAGGAUUAGAUACCCUGGUAGUCCACGCCCUAAACGAUGUCAAGUAAGGUGUUGGGGAUUACUUUCCUUAGUGACGAAGCUAACCCGUGAAGUUUACCGCCUGGGGAGUACGGCCGCAAAAUUAAAACUCAAAGGAAUUGACGG
rnacentral:rRNA from 1 species